UUAACUUUAAGAUUAAUUCCGGAUUUAAAUAUAAAAUUUUAAAAUUUUUUUUGGGACUAAAAUAAAAAAUAUGCAAACUUUAGGAACCAAAAUUGACAUGCAAAAAAAAGCUAAAUAGGCAAUGGCACGAUAAUGUCGUUAAUUCUAAAAUCUCUUUUAACAGUUUCAUUUUAUCGUGGUAAAAUCAAGAGAUUUGAAAAUUUGAUGUGAAGGCCGAGAUUUUUUCUAUGUAAAUUAGACAUCUUUUUAAAUAUUAUCGUGCGUAUUCUAAUUUUGAACUUGCCUGUCAAAUUUCAGUAAAAAAUAAUUUAAAAUAAAGAUUUUACACGAUUAUUACUUUUCACUUAAAGUUAAUAGUAACUCGUGUUUUCUUUUAAGGCAUCGCUUUGAGGAUGGCUUCGGAUAUGAAUUGGACUCCGUUUCGAAUGAUCCACUCAUUUUCAAUGGUUCGACUAUUUCAGAGGUAAUGGCACCGUCGAAUUUUAUAUUUGAUGCGCGGUUUUCAAGAAAAUCAGCUUUUAUCACAUAUUGACCUUUUUCUACUCAAUGUUCUUGCUUUUUAAAAGUGUUCCAUGCUCCUUUUUUGCGUGAAAAUUCUUGGGUCAGUGCCACUAGGCAUUUAUCACACACUAGUGAGUUUUUGGAACACAAAGUUAAUGAUUGGAAUGCUAAAUUGCUAUUUUUGCUAAGUGUCAAAAUUGAGCACUAUGUGAAAAGGUUAUCAUUUUAUAUGAAAAUUUUUACAGUUUUGGUGAGUGAAAGGUUCUACAUGAAAGUAGACUCGGAGAGAAAUUUUUGUCUCAAAUUUCGAGGAAUUUGGAUUUUCCUGUGCAUUAUGGCAUCGAAUUGAAUGACGAUUGAGUUUUCAUGAUCGAGAGGGUUUUCGACGUCAUGCACGUUAUUUUAUGCUUUUCAUCGCACGAAACCUGGUGGAGGGGCCAUUGUGCGAGGGGGUCGUAUUAGUCAAGAGAGGUGGAGUAGAUUUUAAAAAAUAAAAUGAGAUUUUUGAGAGGGGUUUUGUGUAAACGUUAUAGAUAUACAUAUAUAAAUA
rnacentral:lncRNA from 1 species